GAUAAUGGCUCAGAUUGAACGCUGGCGGCAGGCCUAACACAUGCAAGUCGAGCGGUAGCACAGAGAGCUUGCUCUCGGGUGACGAGCGGCGGACGGGUGAGUAAUGUCUGGGAAACUGCCUGAUGGAGGGGGAUAACUACUGGAAACGGUAGCUAAUACCGCAUAAUGUCGCAAGACCAAAGUGGGGGACCUUCGGGCCUCAUGCCAUCAGAUGUGCCCCAGAUGGGUA
rnacentral:rRNA from 1 species